rnacentral:rRNA from 1 species
CCUACGGGUGGCAGCAGUGGGGAAUAUUGCACAAUGGGGGAAACCCUGAUGCAGCGACGCCGCGUGAGUGAAGAAGUAUUUCGGUAUGUAAAGCUCUAUCAGCAGGGAAGAAAAUGACGGUACCUGACUAAGAAGCCCCGGCUAACUACGUGCCAGCAGCCGCGGUAAUACGUAGGGGGCAAGCGUUAUCCGGAUUUACUGGGUGGAAAGGGAGCGUAGGUGGCAUGGUAAGCCAGAAGUGAAAACCCGGGGCUCAACCCCGCGGAUUGCUUUUGGAACUAUCAGGCUGGAGUGCUGGAGGGGUAAGCGGAAUUCCUAGUGUAGCGGUGAAAUGCAUAGAUAUUAGGAGGAACACCGGUGGCGAAGGCGGCUUACUGGACAGAAACUGACACUGAGGCUCGAAAGCGUGGGGAGCAAACAGGAUUAGAUACCCCUGUAGUC